UGUCGUCGAGAGUCCUUAGCAACCGCCUAGUUGAGGCUGCAGACAGGCAGAGCAGGGGCCGCUCAGCCGUUGGAUCCUUCCUGCGCUCUCAGCCAGCUGCCGGGAGAGCUUGCGGAAGAAAUCCCAGGGGCCUGGUGGAGACGCCAGCCAUGGCAUCUGUAUUCCACCGAGAGCCGAAAGCUGCAACAGUGGGGAAGCGGAUGAUUAUUACAGGACCAGAUUAUAUAAAGGAUCAUUUACCUAAAAUUCAUCAACACACUUCCUAUAUAGGAGAAAAGCGUCCAGUGCUGGAAAAAACUGGAGAUCUCAAGUAUUUAUGGAGGCCUGCCCCAAACCAAAGCUUUCCAGCAAAAUAUAAACACGAAUAUGUCGGUGGAAUUGGUUGGGGAGUGCAGGAGUAUAACUUCAUCAACAGAUCAAGACUCGAGAGUGGCUUUCAUAUCAAGCAUAAAGAAGCAAGUCUAGCUGCUCUUGAUAAAAUAACUCACAGAUAUCAGAACCCAUGGCAGCCAGCGCCUUCCAUCCUGGAUAAGCAAGGGCGGUACAGCCGUGGCUCUCUGGCCUGGCACCUGAGUGAUCAUGAGGACACGGAUCAGAGAAACCCCAAACGCACCGCUCCUGCUAGGCGGAGCCAGUCUCUACCAGGAGCCCCUGGGCCGGCCAAGCUGCCAAAGGCACCGAAAGAGGAGGAGAAUAAAACUGCAGCAUGCUAGAAGGAAGUCCAUCACAGGAACAGUGCACACGUCUGCUCCGUCAUGCCUCACUAGCGCGCUCAGCAAAGCAAGACGCGACACAAGUGACACUCAACAGAAAGAGAGAGGUUAGCCUUUAAAUCUGCAUCAUCUGACCUGCUUCAAGAAUGAGAUAUUUUGUACAAAUGUGGAACGAAAAAGGAGGUCCCAAUGACCCCGCAGACAGACAUCCUGCAAGAGAACGCUUCUGGUUAAAGCCCAAAUAAAGUCAGUCUUUACAACCAUCA